rnacentral:misc_RNA from 1 species
GAUGAAGAACGUAGCGAAAUGCGAUACGUAAUGUGAAUUGCAAAUUCAGUGAAUCAUCGAGACUUUGAACGCACAUUGCGCCCCCUGGUAUUCCGGGGGGCAUGCCUGUCCGAGCGUCAUUGCUGCCCUCAAGCACGGCUUGUGUGUUGGGCCCCGUCCUCCGAUCCCGGGGGACGGGCCCGAAAGGCAGCGGCGGCACCGCGUCCGGUCCUCGAGCGUAUGGGGCUUUGUCACCCGCUCUGUAGGCCCGGCCGGCGCUUGCCGAUCAACCCAAAUUUUUUAUCCAGGUUGACCUCGGAUCAGGUAGGGAUACCCGCUGAACUUAAGCAUAUCAAUAAGCGGAGGA